rnacentral:rRNA from 1 species
UGUGGCUCGCACCUGUUCUAACUAAACUUGAGCUACCCUUUUUUCCACACGGUUGACAUCGGUUGGCUGUCCAACAGCGCGGACCUCGCGUACGCUGCUGGAAAGGCGGUCGACACUUCUAGUACCAAAACACUUUGGAUGAUCUAGGAAUUGAAUGAUCAAAAGUUUAAUUUUCUAACGAAAAAACAACUUUUGGCAACGGAUCUCUUGGUUCUCCCAUCGAUGAAGAACGCAGCGAAUUGCGAUAAGUAAUGUGAAUUGCAGAAGUGAAUCAUCGAAUCUUUGAACGCACCUUGCGCUCCCUGCAGAUCUAAUCUGGGGAGCAUGCCUGUUUGAGGGCCGCGAAUUGUUUCGAACGGCAGCUUUCUUCUUUUUUGCGAGAAAGUUGGCGGAUCGGUAGUGAGGGUCUUUUGUUGCCAGUUACCAUGGCUCCCUCGAAAUGCAUUAGCGCAUCCAUUUAAGAGGCAAAAAGGCGGACGAAAGCUCUGGCUUAUGUACGUCCUCCUUCUUCCUCCUGCCGGGUUUGAUAAUAUCAGGACUUCGGAGGCAG